GCAGUGUCCGCUUCGGGCUGCGCCCUGCGCUUGCGCGUGGGAGGGGAGCGGUGUGAGGGGCAGAGCCGGCACCCUGCUGCGGGCACCUGCAGCGGAGCGCCGAGCGUGGGGGCAGCGCGGGGCCCGGUUCGGCUGGGGACGCGGGGGAUGGCCGCAGCACGUCCCCGUAGAGUCCCUGCGGGUGUCGGCGUGGCCAGAGCUGUCCACCUAUAACCAGCUGGAUCCGAAUCCCCGCCAGCUGAGCAGGACUGCUUGGCCCUCUUCUAGACACAAGUUUGUGUUCAGUCAUUCGAAUCUGGAUGAUCAUCAUUCCCCUUGUUUCUAACUCCUCUGGCACCGGUGGUCUCUCUUCGACACCCGCACACGACUUGGAAACGCUUUCCCUUGGGCCACAAAAACAAGAGCAUUCUGGAAAGAUGCACCACCGGAUCUUCUUGGCUGAUGGGGACGCUGGAAGCUAUGUUUAGGGGAUGGAGUUACCUUUUGCAAAUUUGCAAUUUCCUACAAGCUCUGCUCAGGAAAUACGCUUUCCAUUAGGAGGCACACAAGUCAUUUUUCUAAUAUACCAUUCAUUAGAUUAAUGUUAGUGUUAGACUUUUGUAGAGGGCAUAUGUGUCUCAGGCAUUUGUCCAGAAAUGUGUUAUGUCACACAUGGAUUUCCAGUUCAUCACCGCAGAGGUUUCAAAACCUGGGCUUCAGAGGAGACUUUGGAAAUAGCCUAGCUCCAGUGAAUUUUUCAGUCGUGUGCCUAACCAGUCUCCCCAAAUUGUGUUCCGGGGAGUGAGAUCAAAAUAAAAAUAAAAUCUUGGUCUCUUUGAAGCGCUUGUUUUGAUCUGUUGAGGUAGAUAGCCAGGGUUUUUGUCUGUCUGAGUCUGUUGGAUGUAGACUCUUUUUUCUGCAUGCUUUGACCUUCUCUCUGACCUUAAAGAAUGUAGAUGGGUUGGGUGACUCACAUUCACUUUGGGAACUGUGAGCUGAAUCAUUUAGCAUACGCAGUGGGAAAAGUGGAGGAGUAAGUGGGGAGAAAUAAUUCUAAGUUGUAUCUUCAGCUGGAGGAAAAUUGGCCUACCUCCACAAGAGUAAAUACGGCGUGUGCAAGGAUUCAGGUACUCAAAGAUGUCUGUUUAGCAAUAAAGACUAGCUCUGGACCCGGUCCCUGGCCUGGUCAGACAUGCACCUGCACACUCACUAUAUCGAAAGAACCACAGAAGUGUGUUGAAAACCGCUUCAGUGAGAGGCAUAAACACAACUACAGAUGAACGGACAGGACUUCAAGACUCCAAAUGCUGGACCGCUGGCAGAACCGUCCACAGGAUGAACUACUUCCCGAAGAACACAAGCUCCACCAGGGCAGAGACUGUGUCGCCUUUCUUAGUCCCUGUUCCACGCCAGCCACGGAGCAGUGUCCCGACACAGUCACUCACAGGCUGUUGACGGAGUGUGUACGGAUUGUAUGAUUCCAUGAAUGGAGUUGGAACUAUUUGAGGUCAGUCUCAAUGAUGGCUGGGGUGAGUGAUUCAACUAAACUUGUAGGUUUUGGAGCUGAAAGUGAGCUUGUUAACUCCCUUGGUAGCAUCUCUGGUCAACGAUCAGCCAGUCUGUGCUUGAACAGCCGUACGUGAAAGACGUAACUAUGGUCCUGUCUUAGCCGUCCUCGGACAGAGCACAGCCUUCCAUGGCAGUUUGUUCCCUAUUAUACAGCUGUAAGGAGGAGAAAACGCUUUGAUUUACCCAGAAUCUCCUUCUCUCUGCUCUCUAGCCUUCUGCUCCUUGUUCUAGUUCCUAGAGAAUAGACAGGACACCAUUUCCUGUAAAUUACAUGCUGUAGGUGUGUGUGCCUGCUUACAACAAAAUUAGCAUGAUGUGUGGCAACAUUCACCUUGAUCAUCUCCCACCCAUACCCUCAUUUCCUGUUAGCAUUUAGAUAGAAUUUGUCCGAAGAAUCCACCUUAUUUUUGAGGGAGUGUAGAGAUAGAGAUCUGGGGCUUACGCCGGAAGCAGUAAGACAGACACUUUCAGUUCUCUUUAGUAUAUUCAGUGCUGGUGCUACGGGGAAUUGAGCGCUAUAGUCACAGGAUUAUUGCCAUCACUUAACAAAUGUAUUUAUAGUGAAAGGUGUGGUAGCUCGGGAAGCUCUGCCCGAUGGGGAGAAUGUCAGCCACAUCCCAGGGUUCCCGGAGCAUUUCUCAAAAAACUGUGACACAGAACAUCUCUCCUCUUUCUUUUUUGGUAUGUUCAACUAGUUAAAAAAAAAAAAAGCACACCUAAUAUUCCUGAAAUAUCAAUGCCUGAGUUGCUAGUCUUUUGGGUCUUAACAGACCAUCCUCUGGGCCUGACAGUAGAGUUACACGGAGCCUGGGUAUUUGGGCCCCACUGAGAGCCCCACAGGGUCAUUGUCACACGUCUGUUCACCAAUAUGUGCAAAUAGGAGGAAAUAAAAGUCCGGGCUUGUGGGUCAAGGCCGAAGGUCCUUUCCGUGUACUGUGACGGGUAGUUACAGAGGGAGGAGAGAUCUGAGCGCAGCCCUGCAGGCUUUGAUCGAAAUCUUAGGCGGGCUGUAGAGAAAAGACGACAAAAAGAACUCUGAGUUGCGAAUGCCACUGGGAAAGGUUCUCAAGGGCUGUUAAUCCAGUCGUAACCGUGGUCACAAUGACAAUAUGGAGGUCAGUGUUAACAGACUUAGAACAGCAUCUGGUUCUAAGCACUGUCCGUGUGUUAACUCCACGCCACAGCACGGUACAGGUUAUGUGCUGCAGUCGACAUUUUUACAUUGUGAAAUCACUUUACAAAUACUCUUUUGACCCUUGGAGUGCACGGGGAAAACUUGUGGAAGUCAGCAUUCUAUUUAUUUUGGUUUCCUUUAACAAUCCAUUAACUUUCUGAAAUUCAAUAUUCUUCCCAACUUAAAAAUUCAACCUACAAUUCAAAAAUUAAGGCUAAAUACAAUAAAUUUAUUGGAAAUUCCAUUCUAAAGAGCACCUGAAAGAAUGCAGCCCACGAGGAUCUAGAAAGGCAACAAAGGAGAAGCCAAGCCCCCAGACUCUAGGAUUCGGCGGCCCAUCUGCGGUAAAGGGGCACUUACUGCUCAUUACCGCCUUGUCCGUAGAACCCACGGAGCCUCCCCUCCGUCACGAUCCACGGUCUGAGCCGUGGAGCCUCGGUCACUCUCCCCACCGGACGCCACCAGAUGCCAGAAACAAGUUCGAGUGCUUUGGGGCCAUGACACAAAUUAUUUCUAUAGAGAUAAACUCCUGUCCAAAAAGGACUGAUUCUAGAAAACACGAGGAAACGAAUUGGAAAAAUGAUUGGAAGCAGUUGAGUAUGGGAGAGACCAGCAGAUACAUGUGUGUGCGUAGGUCUCUUGAAUAAUGUUUUGUUUUGUUUUUUCUUCCUCAUCCUUGAGUGCACCAUUGGUUGGAAAGUGAAUUGGUGCAGCCACUGUGGAAGACAGUAGAGAAGUUCCUCAAAAAGUUAAAAAUAAAAAUACUAUAUGACUCUGAAAUUCCACCACUGGGUAUCUACCUAAAAAACAAAAAACAAACAAAAAAACACUAAUUUGAAAAGAAAAAAAAAGAAUAAUGUUCUCUAUGAGAAAAAUAAAAAACAAUGCUCUUAUUUCUCCCAAAAUUAACCCAUUUAAUAUCUUUGAAUAAUUUCAAGACCACAUGUGUAUACGUGUAUAUUGUUCAUAGAAUAUAUGAACAUAUAUAUAUUCUAGAAUCAGCCCUUUUCGGUCAGGAGUUUCUCUCUACAGAAAUGACUUGUGUCAUGACUCCGAAGUACUUGAACUUGUUUCUGGCAUCUGGUGGCUUCCGGUAGGGAGAGUGACCAGUGUAGUUGCAUUUUGCCUCAUUUUUGCCUUAUAUAAAUGGAAUCCUAUGUGCGUGUGUAUCCUUUGUAUCUUGCUUCUUUUGCUCAAUAUUAUGGUCUUGAGAUUCA